rnacentral:rRNA from 1 species
AGUGAACGCUGGCGGUAGGCCUAACACAUGCAAGUCGAACGGCAGCACAGUAAGAGCUUGCUCUUACGGGUGGCGAGUGGCGGACGGGUGAGGAAUACAUCGGAAUCUACUUUUUCGUGGGGGAUAACGUAGGGAAACUUACGCUAAUACCGCAUACGACCUACGGGUGAAAGCAGGGGAUCUUCGGACCUUGCGCGAUUGAAUGAGCCGAUGUCGGAUUAGCUAGUUGGCGGGGUAAAGGCCUACCAAGGCGACGAUCCGUAGCUGGUCUGAGAGGAUGAUCGGCCACACUGGAACUGAGACACGGUCCAGACUCCUACGGGAGGCAGCAGUGGGGUAUAUUGGACAAUGGGCGCAAGCCUGAUCCAGCCAUACCGCGUGGGUGAAGAAGGCCUUCGGGUUGUAAAGCCCUUUUGUUGGGAAAGAAAAGCAGCAGGUUAAUACCCCGCUGUUCUGACGGUACCCAAAGAAUAAGCACCGGCUAACUUCGUG